UGCUAACACUAUGAGAUGGCUUUGCGGUGCAUUAGCUAGUUGGUGGGGUAAAGGCCUACCAAGGCGACGAUGCAUAGCCGACCUGAGAGGGUGAUCGGCCACACUGGGACUGAGACACGGCCCAGACUCCUACGGGAGGCAGCAGUAGGGAAUCUUCCGCAAUGGGCGAAAGCCUGACGGAGCAACGCCGCGUGAGUGAAGAAGGAUUUCGGUUCGUAAAGCUCUGUUGUUAGGGAAGAAUGAUUGUGUAGUAACUAUACACAGUAGAGACGGUACCUAACCAGAAAGCCACGGCUAACUACGUGCCAGCAGCCGCGGUAAUACGUAGGUGGCAAGCGUUGUCCGGAAUUAUUGGGCGUAAAGCGCGCGCAGGUGGUUUAAUAAGUCUGAUGUGAAAGCCCACGGCUCAACCGUGGAGGGUCAUUGGAAACUGUUAAACUUGAGUGCAGGAGAGAAAAGUGGAAUUCCUAGUGUAGCGGUGAAAUGCGUAGAGAUUAGGAGGACACCAGUGGCGAAGGCGGCUUUUUGG
rnacentral:rRNA from 1 species